ACCUUGCCAGUAAAAACCCAGUGGGACAAAAACUGGUCGAAGGAAAAAAGAGUACAUAACUAUGUGUAACAUAAAAUUCUAAGUAUAUUGGCGCGCGUGCGACACUGCCUCGUUAAAACCUUGCCAGGAAAAACCCAGUGGGAUAAAAACCCGGACGAAGGAAAAAGAGUACGGUGUUUGAAGAUCUUUAUUGAUGGUGCUCUCCCCCUGAUGCUUGGCAAAAUAUCUUUAAGUCAUACUGUUGAUCAGCCUUCUGAAUAUCGUAGUUGGCACUGCUUCUGUGAGUCAAUCUUGAGUGACACUGCCUCGUUAAAACCUUACCAGGAAAAACCCAGUGGGAUAAAAACCUGGAUGAAGGAAAAAGAGUACAGUGUAUGGAGGUCUUUAUUAAAACCAUGCUCCCCCUGAUGAAUAUCUCCCCCUGAAAAAUUUAGGACUAGCUUUUGUCCAGUAAGCGACCAUAAAAAUUUUCAUAGUAUACCCUAAACCCUU
rnacentral:lncRNA from 1 species